GACGAACGCUGGCGGCGUGCCUAAUACAUGCAAGUAGAACGCUGAAGAGAGGAGCUUGCUCUUCUUGGAUGAGUUGCGAACGGGUGAGUAACGCGUAGGUAACCUGCCUGGUAGCGGGGGAUAACUAUUGGAAACGAUAGCUAAUACCGCAUGAUAUUAAUUAUUGCAUGAUAAUUGAUUGAAAGAUGCAAUUGCAUCACUACCAGAUGGACCUGCGUUGUAUUAGCUAGUUGGUGAGGUAACGGCUCACCAAGGCGACGAUACAUAGCCGACCUGAGAGGGUGAUCGGCCACACUGGGACUGAGACACGGCCCAGACUCCUACGGGAGGCAGCAGUAGGGAAUCUUCGGCAAUGGGGGGAACCCUGACCGAGCAACGCCGCGUGAGUAAGA
rnacentral:rRNA from 1 species